CAGUAGCCGCGGUAAUACGAGGGGGGCAAGCGUUGUUCGGAAUUAUUGAGCGUAAAGGGUGCGUAGGCGGCUUGACAAGUCUUGUGUGAAAUCUAUGGGCUCAACCCAUAGUCUGCACGGGAAACUGUCGGGCUUUAGAAUGGGAGAGGUGAGUGGAAUUUCCGGUGUAGCGGUGAAAUGCGUAGAUAUCGGAAGGAACACCUGUGGCGAAAGCGGCUCACUGGACCAUUUCUGACGCUGAUGCACGAAGGCUAGGGGAGCAAACAGGAUUAGAUACCCCCGUAGUCCCUGUCUCUUAUAC
rnacentral:rRNA from 1 species